rnacentral:tRNA from 1 species
CGCGGGAUGGAGCAGCAUGGUAGCUCGUCGAGCUCAUAACCCGAAGGUCGUAGGUUCGAAUCCUGCUCCCGCAACCA